AACGAACGCUGGCGGCAUGCCUAACACAUGCAAGUCGAACGAGACCUUCGGGUCUAGUGGCGCACGGGUGCGUAACGCGGGGUAACCUGCACUUAGGUUCGGUAUAACUCCCCGAAAGGGGUGCUAAUACCGGAUAAUGUCUUCGGACCAAAGAUUUAUCGCCUUUGGAUGGGCCCGCGUUGGAUUAGCUAGUUGGUAGGGUAAAAGCCUACCAAGGCGACGAUGCAUAGCUGGUCUGAGAGGAUGAUCAGCCACACUGGGACUGAGACACGGCCCAGACUCCUACGGGAGGCAGCGGUGGGGAGUAUUAGACACUGGGCGCAAGCCUGAUCCAGCAGUGCCGCGUGAGUGAUGAAGGCCUUAGGGUUGUAAAGCUCUUUUACCCGGGAUGAUAAUGACGGUACCGGGAGAAUAAGCACCGGCUAACUCCGUG
rnacentral:rRNA from 1 species